GUACGCCUCGUUCGGAUCCCUCCUACGAUUUUCCAUAAAGGAUCCUAUUAUAUAUACCCACCAGUAAAAAUCCUAAUUCGACUUUCUAAAAGAAAAAAACCUAAUUCACUUUUCUAGCUCUCCGCCGCGCUGGCUCUCUCCUCCUCUAUCUAUUUCUUCCCCCACAUCUCAUGUUCUGAUAUUCCUCCACUAUUAAUCAAAAAUCCAAUCACUGAAAGAUGUUUUAGUAUUCUUAGGAGAAGAGAUGAAAAAGAAGAAGUUGCGGCCACAGUUGCUAUGCACCCUCAUUUAUUUCUUACAAUUUUUCAUUUUUUAGAUUUGAAGGGUUUUUAAUAUUGAAUGUCUUGAUCUUUGCAGAUUCAACUUGGUUCUGAUUUGUUUUUUUUUAGGUUGAAAUGAAAGGGUAUGUUGAUUCAUUUUGCAUAGAUGGUGAAUGUUAUUAAAAGGUUGUAACGUCACUCCAGUUUUAUGGAAUCAGCUUCUAGGUCUUGCUUUAGUCCCGAGUUUGGUUCUGAUGUGAAAGAGACGUGGAAUUGAUUGAUUAAUGGACAGUUUGAUUGAAGGCAUCAACAACCCGAAUUGCAUAUAUCACCGUAUGAUAUAUAGCUGAUUAGUUGAAAGGGGAGAAAAGACGGUUAGAAAAUCAAGGAGUUGCGAAUUAUCUAGAAUCUCAAAAUCCCUGUAUAUUAUGUAUCUUGUAUUUUUUUUCUUCAUGUUUUAUGUAAAUUUUAAACCAUUAGCAGUGAUUUCCAUUUAAAUCA